UGUGGUUUAAUUCGAAGCAACGCGAAGAACCUUACCAAGUCUUGACAUCCCUCUGACCGUUCCUUAACCGGAACUUUCCUUCGGGACAGAGGAGACAGGUGGUGCAUGGUUGUCGUCAGCUCGUGUCGUGAGAUGUUGGGUUAAGUCCCGCAACGAGCGCAACCCCUAUCCCCAGUAGCCAGCAGUCCGGCUGGGCACUCUGAGGAGACNNNNNNNNNNGGGCACUCUGAGGAGACUGCCAGGGAUAACCUGGAGGAAGGCGGGGAUGACGUCAAAUCAUCAUGCCCCUUAUGAUUUGGGCUACACACGUGCUACAAUGGCGUAAACAAAGGGAAGCAAGCCUGCGAAGGUAAGCAAAUCCCAAAAAUAACGUCCCAGUUCGGACUGCAGUCUGCAACUCGACUGCACGAAGCUGGAAUCGCUAGUAAUCGCGGAUCAGAAUGCCGCGGUGAAUACGUUCCCGGGUCUUGUACACACCGCCCGUCACACCAUGGGAGUCAGUAACGCCCGAAGUCAGUGACCUAACUGCAAAGAAGGAGCUGCCGAAGGCGGGA
rnacentral:rRNA from 1 species